rnacentral:rRNA from 1 species
UACGUAGGCAGCGAGCGUUGUUCGGAGUUACUGGGCGUAAAGGGUGUGUAGGCGGUUGUUUAAGUUUGGUGUGAAAUCUCCCGGCUCAACUGGGAGGGUGCGCCGAAUACUGAAUGACUAGAGUGCGGGAGAGGAAAGUGGAAUUCCUGGUGUAGCGGUGAAAUGCGUAGAUAUCAGGAGGAACACCGGUGGUGUAGACGGCUUUCUGGACCGUAACUGACGCUGAGACACGAAAGCUAGGGUAGCGAACGGG